rnacentral:rRNA from 1 species
CGUAACAAGGUCUCCGUUGGUGAACCAGCGGAGGGAUCAUUACUGAGUUACCGCUCUAUAACCCUUUGUGAACAUACCUAACCGUUGCUUCGGCGGGCAGGGGAAGCCUCUCGCGGGCCUCCCCUCCCGGCGCCGGCCCCCACCACGGGGACGGGGCGCCCGCCGGAGGAAACCAAACUCUAUUUACACGACGUCUCUUCUGAGUGGCACAAGCAAAUAAUUAAAACUUUUAACAACGGAUCUCUUGGUUCUGGCAUCGAUGAAGAACGCAGCGAAAUGCGAUAAGUAAUGUGAAUUGCAGAAUUCAGUGAAUCAUCGAAUCUUUGAACGCACAUUGCGCUCGCCAGCAUUCUGGCGAGCAUGCCUGUUCGAGCGUCAUUUCAACCCUCAAGCACCGCUUGGUUUUGGGGCCCCACGGCACACGUGGGCCCUUAAAGGUAGUGGCGGACCCUCCCGGAGCCUCCUUUGCGUAGUAACUAACGUCUCGCACUGGGAUUCGGAGGGACUCUUGCCGUAAAACCCCCAAAUUUUUUACAGGUGACCUCGGAUCA